rnacentral:rRNA from 1 species
UACGGAGGGUGCGAGCGUUGUCCGGAAUCACUGGGCGUAAAGGGCGCGUAGGCGGAUCUUUAAGUCGGGGGUGAAAGCCCAGGGCUCAACCCUGGAAUUGCCUUCGAUACUGAAGAUCUCGAGUCCGGAAGAGGUAAGUGGAACUGCGAGUGUAGAGGUGAAAUUCGUAGAUAUUCGCAAGAACACCAGUGGCGAAGGCGGCUUACUGGUCCGGUUCUGACGCUGAGGCGCGAAAGCGUGGGGAGCAAACAGG